GAUGAACGCUGGCGGCGUGCCUAAUACAUGCAAGUCGAGCGAACAGAUGAGGAGCUUGCUCCUCUGACGUUAGCGGCGGACGGGUGAGUAACACGUGGAUAACCUACCUAUAAGACUGGGAUAACUUCGGGAAACCGGAGCUAAUACCGGAUAAUAUAUUGAACCGCAUGGUUCAAUAGUGAAAGACGGUAUUGCUGUCACUUAUAGAUGGAUCCGCGCCGCAUUAGCUAGUUGGUAAGGUAACGGCUUACCAAGGCAACGAUGCGUAGCCGACCUGAGAGGGUGAUCGGCCACACUGGAACUGAGACACGGUCCAGACUCCUACGGGAGGCAGCAGUAGGGAAUCUUCCGCAAUGGGCGAAAGCCUGACGGAGCAACGCCGCGUGAGUGAUGAAGGUCUUCGGAUCGUAAAACUCUGUUAUUAGGGAAGAACAAAUGUGUAAGUAACUAUGCACGUCUUGACGGUACCUAAUCAGAAAGCCACGGCUAACUACGUG
rnacentral:rRNA from 1 species